rnacentral:rRNA from 1 species
UACGUAGGGUGCAAGCGUUAAUCGGAAUUACUGGGCGUAAAGAGCUUGUAGGCGGUUUGUCGCGUCUGCCGUGAAAAUCCGGGGCUUAACCCCGGGCCUGCAGUGGGUACGGGCAGACUAGAGUGCGGUAGGGGAGACUGGAAUUCCUGGUGUAGCGGUGAAAUGCGCAGAUAUCAGGAAGAACACCCGUGGCUAAGGCGGUUCUCUAGUACGGUACUGACGCUGAGACGCGAAAGCGUGGGGAGCGAACAGG